rnacentral:rRNA from 1 species
GACGAACGCUGGCGGCGUGCUUAACACAUGCAAGUCGAACGGAAAGGCCCUGCUUUUGUGGGGUGCUCGAGUGGCGAACGGGUGAGUAACACGUGAGUAACCUGCCCCUGACUUUGGGAUAACUUCAGGAAACUGGGGCUAAUACCGGAUAGGAGCUCCUGCUGCAUGGUGGGGGUUGGAAAGUUUCGGCGGUUGGGGAUGGACUCGCGGCUUAUCAGCUUGUUGGUGGGGUAGUGGCUUACCAAGGCUUUGACGGGUAGCCGGCCUGAGAGGGUGACCGGCCACAUUGGGACUGGGAUACGGCCCAGACUCCUACGGGAGGCAGCAGUGGGGAAUAUUGCACAAUGGGCGGAAGCCUGAUGCAGCAACGCCGCGUGCGGGAUGACGGCCUUCGGGUUGUAAACCGCUUUCGCCUGGGACGAAGCGUGAGUGACGGUAAUGGGUAAAGAAGCACCGGCUAACUACGUG